rnacentral:lncRNA from 1 species
GUAAUCUUUGUGUUUUAUAUCAGUUUUCUGAAUGCUUGUAAAUAGUUUAAUUGGUUAUGGAAAUUAAUCUGUGAUGGCCAAACAUUGGUAGUUGCAAUAAAUUUACUCUGUGUUGUAGGCUGAAACAUGAUGUCCUAAAAGUUAUACGUCAAAUUCCUGGAAACUUGUUUGGAAGAAAAUGGUUUUUGUAAAUAUGAUUAUGUUAACAAUCUUGAAAUGUGGAGAUAAUUCUAGAUUAUCUGGUGGUCCCUAAACUCAAUGACAAGUGUUCUUAUAAGAAAAAAGCAGAGGAGGAUUUGAAAAAAGUAUAAUACAGAAGACACGGAAAGGAAGAGGAGGCAACAUGAUCCUGGAGUCAGGAUCAGAGUGUUGUGGCUAUAAACCAAGGAACCAGGAACCAUAUAGAAACCAGAAGAUGCAGAGGUUGAAUUGCCUCCUGGAACCUCUGCAGGAAGUACAACACUGCUGACACCUUAAUUUCAGAAAUCUGGCCUCCAAUACUGUGAGAAUACAUUUAUGUGGUUUAAAGUCACCAAGCUUAUGCUAAUUUGUUAUGGAAACCACAGGAAACAAAUACAUUAUCUAAAACAUCAAAGUUGAUUAUUUUCAAGUAACCUAAUAACCAAUUGUUUCAUUUCUUUCAGAAAUUCUUACUAUAGUACUUUAGGGAGCAAAAUCCACAUCAGAAAUUUAUAUAAUACCACAAUGGAUGACUUCCAGCAGUAAGAGAAUACUCUAUUUCCAGCUGGUGAAGGGGCCAGUGCUUUUGCGGCCAGAGGUGUUUGGUUCAUAUCAGAAUCCGGCCCCUCAAGCUCCUAAGGAAAUACGUGACCCAAUAAGUAAGUAUGAUGUGUGCUUAACAAGUAACCAGGUAAAUAACUGUGCAUAAAGCAUGGAAGCAUAGAAUGGGAAAUAAAAUGAGUGGAGGUUCACAGCGCAUUCCCAGGCUGUAUUUCAAGAUGAAAGGGUACACACACGCAGUUUGUCUAUAUACGCAAGUUAUAUCUUGAGAUUGGGGAGAGAGGAGGAAAGAAAACAAAGUUUUAAAACAUGAUUUGAAGUCAAGCUGCUCAGUUACACUUGCAAACCUACGCUGAAAGAAAGGUCAAAAAAUGAACUUAGAAGGAAUAUAGAUCUAGGGUAGAAAUUUGGAUCUACAAAAAAAAUGAUCACUGGAAAUAAAAAAGGUGGGAAAGAAAACUAGGAAGAUAUAUACUCUU